rnacentral:rRNA from 1 species
GUGGGGAAUCUUGCGCAAUGGGCGAAAGCCUGACGCAGCCAUGCCGCGUGAAUGAUGAAGGUCUUAGGAUUGUAAAAUUCUUUCACCGGGGACGAUAAUGACGGUACCCGGAGAAGAAGCCCCGGCUAACUUCGUGCCAGCAGCCGCGUUAAUACGAAGGGGGCUAGCGUUGCUCGGAAUUCCUGGGCGUAAAGGGCGCGUAGGCGGACAGUUUAGUCAGAGGUGAAAGCCCAGGGCUCAACCUUGGAAUUGCCUUUGAUACUGGCUGUCUUGAGUACGGGAGAGGUGAGUUGAACUCCGAGUGUAGAGGUGAAAUUCGUAGAUAUUCGGAAGAACACCAGUGGCGAAGGCGACUCACUGGCCCGUUACUGACGCUGAGGCGCGAAAGCGUGGGGAGCAAACAGGAUUAGAUACCCGAGUAGUCC